UACUUCCAGGUUAAGUAAAAAUGUUUGAGUUAGGUAGUGCAAGUGGUCAGAUUAGACGUUAAAGCUUAGUUUCUAUAAAGGGUAAAAUCGGAAUAUAGAUUAUAAUUAGUUAAGACUGAGGCAGAGGCUAAAUAAAUUUAGUGAAAAACUAGGAUUAGAUACCCUAUUAUUCUAAAUUAAAAAUACAAGAACCAGACUAGUAGGAGUUAUCUUCUUAAAAAUUAAAAAAUUUGGCAGUAGUUUAAUCUUUUUAGAGGAAUCUGUUUUUUAAUCGAUACACCACGAAGAAUCUUACUUACUCUUGUAAAGUUUAGUUUGUAUACCAUCAUUAUCAGAUAAUUUUAAAAAGAAGAAAUUAUUAAAUUUAGUUUGUCUAGAAAAAUUAGAUCAUGGUGCAGCUUAUGGGUAAGUUAAAAUGGAUUACAAUAAAUUAAUUUAUGACGGAUUAUAAAAUGAAAAUUUAUAUGAAGGAGGAUUUAAUUGUAUUGAGGAUAAACAAUGUCUUCAAGAAAUAAGCUCUAAAUUAUGUACAUAUCGCCCGUCGCUUUCGUUUAUAGAUGAAAUAAGUCGUAACAUA
rnacentral:rRNA from 1 species